UACGUAGGGUGCGAGCGUUAAUCGGAAUUACUGGGCGUAAAGCGUGCGCAGGCGGUUUUGUAAGCCAGAUGUGAAAGCCCCGGGCUUAACCUGGGAAUGGCACUUGGGACUGCAAGGCUUGAGUGCGGCAGAGGAGACUGGAAUUCCUGGUGUAGCAGUGAAAUGCGUAGAUAUCGGGAGGAACACCGGUGGCGAAGGCGGCGACCUGGGUAGAUACUGACGCUGAGGCGCGAAAGCGUGGGGAGCGAACAGG
rnacentral:rRNA from 1 species